GCCUCUGCUCUGGCCUCCUAAGGGUGAUUAUGGGCAAGAAUGUGGAGAGGCCACUCUGAGCCAGGCCGGUCACCUCUGCUGGCCUGGUGGGAACUCAAAGAGGUAAGAGAGCUUGGUCUGCCUUCAAGGAAUAGACAGAAGAGUUGACAAGAAAAAGAUGGACACAAAGGAAACAACCUUAAGACAUGGUGGCCUCUGAUUUCAUGCCAAGGAAAUUGAUAUGAACAGAAAGGUAAUGCACUAUAGAUGCAAAUAUCCUUGUGGUUGCUGGGUGGAGAGAGAAAUGGAAGCAGGCUGAGGUGAUGUGAAGAGAACAAUCAUCUGGGAGAGAGAGAGACUGGGAGAAGUCCGGAGGCAGCUGGGUCAGAAGCACAGGAUCUUCCCACACCCAAGGAGCUGGCCUCUCAGAAUCUGCCCAACCAUUCAGGAAGAGCAUGAUGGGAGCUGGAGGAGGUGUGGACGCCACAGGAGCUGAACCCUUCGUUCACUGGGCCCUUCCUUCACUGUUCUGUCUCUCCUUGAGCCUGGAGGAAUGGAGUCGGCUGUCUAUGGACUGAGACCUCUGAAACCGGCCUGCUGUCAACUGCUGUCAAGGUCAACUUCAUCAGCGUCAUUACAGCCACCGCUAUGAUGGCUAUCAUCAUCUCUCUAGCCUCUGAGAAAUGAGCUUGCACCUGCGGUGAUUGACACAAACCUAAUUUCCCUCCUGUGCAUCUCCUCCUCCAUCAUUGUAUAUAUUCCCAAUAAAAUUCCCUAGCUGUCAGAGGAACAAGAGAAAAGUUCUAUAUAGCUUCAUCUUGACUUCAGCUCCUUAGGGGAAAAAAAA